rnacentral:rRNA from 1 species
AUGCUUGCUUUGAAGUUCUUCGGCCCCUUCUCAGUCCUCGCCAGAAUUGGCCCAUCAGCGUACAAGUUGGAGCUCCCUGUGGACAGCAAGAUUCGCCCAGUGUUUCACGCCUCACAUUUGAAACCGUUCACAGCCAACUACAGUCCAGUAUUUUCUGAACUUCCAGCUACCACCGACCUGUCGACACAAGAGACUGCUCCAGUGGCAAUAGUGGACAGAAGAAUGAUGAAAAAGGGCAAUGCACCAGUGAUCCAACUGCAAGUUUCUUGGGAUACAACUCCGCAAUCCGUCACAUGGGAAGACUAUGACGUGCUCCGUCGGUGCUAUCCACAAGCUUGCAUUUGGGAAGAGGAAUCAAUGGAAGCAGGAGACUAUUCUCAAGGAGGGGAGAAUGUCAACACGGCAGUGCCAGCCACCACCGUGUGA